rnacentral:rRNA from 1 species
AUUGAACGCUGGCGGCAUGCUUUACACAUGCAAGCCGAACGGUAACAGGGAGCUUGCUCCGCUGACGAGUGGCGAACGGGUGAGUAAUGCGUCGGAACGUGCCGAGUAGUGGGGGAUAACGCAUCGAAAGGUGUGCUAAUACCGCAUACGAACUGAGGUUGAAAGUGGGGGACCUUCGGGCCUCACGCUAUUCGAGCGGCCGACGUCUGAUUAGCUAGUUGGUGAGGUAAAGGCUCUCCAAGGCGACGAUCAGUAGCGGGUCUGAGAGGAUGAUCCGCCACACUGGGACUGAGACACGGCCCAGACUCCUACGGGAGGCAGCAGUGGGGAAUUUUGGACAAUGGGCGCAAGCCUGAUCCAGCCAUGCCGCGUGUCUGAAGAAGGCCUUCGGGUUGUAAAGGACUUUUGUCCGGGAGCAAAUGCUGGUGGCUAACAUCCACCGGAGCUGAGAGUACCGGAAGAAUAAGCACCGGCUAACUACGUGCCAGCAGCCGCUGUAAAAC